CCCUCAAGUCACUGAGUCUCUUACCGGACAUGUCUGGAGACAUUUGUGUGCAGGUCAAGUGUCAGCAGCUGCCGACAGACGCCGGCCGGUCACUCUUGUCGGCUUCGCUGGGAAGAAAUUAGAGUGAAGAUGUUUCCAUGGGCUUCUAGCAGCAUCACGGCCCUGGCACUGCGCCCACCGUGCCCAGUGCCGGGCGCGUCCUCAGUACCUGCUGGGUGACGGUGACAGCAGAGAGAGCAGCCGUCCCUCCCCCCUUCGUCCUCCUUGGUGGCGUUGACCCUCGAAGGGACAGGAAGCAGCAGAGGGUGGCCAGCUGCGACCCCACAGGGGCACCAGGGCCCUCCCUCCCAUCCACCUCCCUGUACUUUCUACAGAGACCCGCACGGCCGACAGGAGGCAGCACCUUACCCCGUCUGGUCUCACCUGAGUAGUGGAUCCCGUUCUGCUCAUUACACAGACUCAAGUAAUGGGACCCCUGGAAAGGAAACACAGAUGCAGGUGAGCCUGGACCCCCCGACUCUAAAGCCUCGGAGCCUUGUGUUCUGCUCACACACACCUGAA